UGAAACGUCAGUGCUGGUGUCUUUAUUUAAUUCUGUAAAUUAGCCAUAACUGUGAGCUAAGCUGCUCAUGUGGUAUCUUUAGACGUUAUAACGUUACUUAUUGCUUGACAAACCAGAGUGGAAGAGCAGAGCAUGUGUCAUGUAAGCUGUCUGUAUCUAAAAUAAACUGCGCUUGCGCAACUUCAACCAACCAGCAUCAUAGUUCAUUUUUUUUUCUUUCUUUCUCUUAUUAGAGUCGGAGCCCGUCUACAUUUUAGACAUUCUCUGUUAAGAGUUCAGUUCUGUUGAAAGUCUUGUAGUGCUCUCUUUGUCUUAGGAGAAGGCGGCAAAUUAUUAACAGCAGUAUUUAAAUAACCUUAGUUAGCAAAUUAAUAAACUUAACCAUCCGUCUACCCUGGUGGGUUUCUUUCUUUUAUCAAUUGUACAGCUUAUGUAAAUAAAUAAUCUGUUGGUGUGUUGUAAGCCUUUUUAACCACCACAUGGUGUGAUCUUUGUUAGCUAGCCAGCUAACGUUAGGUUAGCCAGCCCUCUGCCCUUGUCUCUGCAUUGGAACAGUGUGGACUCAGCUUUUCACUUUAAUCGCUCUUGGUCUCUUUUCUAAAAAUUUUUCUUUGUAAGUUCAACACGUGUGGAAGUGUUUUUGAUACAGUGCUUAAGUUUAAUCAGCACAUUAAACUGCAUAAUAAUAGCGCUAAUUACGUAUAUCAGUGCGGUGUGCCAGAAUGCCCAAGAACAUACUUUAAACUUAGUGCCCUUAAAGCUCACAUGUACAGAGACCACAAAGCAGAUGGACCUUUAAGGAAUAGUCAGCCACUAUUAUGUGAUGCUACUCCUAUACAAUGUGACUUUUGUGCUGUAAGGUGUGAAUCUUCAUCUUUAGUUUGUCAUUUGAGGUCACACUUGCAAGAAGGAUUAGAAGUUCAAUGUCCAUUUAGAGGAUGUGAUCGCAAGUUCACUAUUGUGUCGAGUUUUGCAUCUCAUAUAUCUAGAAAACACAAAAAUGAGAGUGUUGUGCACAUAGAUCCCUCGAAUGUGGAAAGGUGUGUUGCCACAGAAUCUUUUCUUCAGUGUGCACCCUCUGAUCAUUCUGAUGAUGAGCCAGAAGAGACUCUUGCUGUUGAUGAAUCCCUCUUUCUGCAAAAUAUCACUCUCUUCUAUCUUAAACUUCAGGCUAAACUACUGUUACCUGCUACUACAAUACAGACUAUCAUUGAGGGAUAUCAGGAUGUCCAUGAUAUCAGUUUGACAAAUUUGCUGAACAACUUAAGUGACAAACUUACUGUCCUUGGAGUCCCAGAGGCCACAAUCAAUAACAUUAUGGUCGAACUCAGAAAAGAAGACCUCCUUUCUGCCUGUAACAGUGGACCUUUGAGCACAGACCAGAAAAGAAAGACAGCUUUUAAGAAACAUUUUAAUUAUGUUGAGCCUGUACCUCUGUUUUUAGGUAAUGAUGAUAAAGGUAGGGAAUCAUUUGCCCAGUAUGUACCUGUUCAAGAAACAUUGGCUACACUUUUUAAAAGCAAGUCUAUUCAAGAACAGUAUGCAGCAACACGUUCCAAGGCAUCAUCAGAUGGUCUUUUCCAGGACAUUAAUGAUGGAAAGGGAGCUCAGUGCAACCCUUUAUAUAAAAUGGAGCCAUCCUCGCUUGGUCUGAUACUCUAUCAGGAUGCGUUUGAAGUUGUCAAUCCACUUGGCUCUUCAAGAAAGAAACAUAAGAUUGUAGCAGUUUAUUUAACUCUGACAGAUAUUUUGCCUCAUAACAGAUCCACCACAGAUCAAAUGCAACUUGUUCUCUUGUGCAACGAGCAGGCCUUUAAAUAUUUUGGGAUAGACAAGGUAUUUGAGCCUCUCAUAAAAGACCUGAAAGCUCUUGAGGAGACUGGUAUUGUGAUAGGUGAUGGGCAAAUUGUCAAAGGUCGACUGUGUGCUAUCUCAGGUGACAAUUUAGGGUCUCACAGUAUCGGCGGUUUUGUUGAGAACUUCAGUAAGAGCCAUUACUUCUGCAGAUACUGUGAUGUAGAAAGAGCUACUUUUCAGAACUCUCCACUAUUGUGUGGCACCCCACGAACAGAACAGUCCUAUCAGACUCAUCUGCAGGAAUUACGCACCAGUGGCAGAAAUUCUGAGUGCGGCAUUAAAUCAGAUUCUCCAUUUAACCAACUAUCAUUCUUUCAUGUUUGCCAGCCUGGGCUGCCCCCAUGUCUUGGGCAUGACCUGUUUGAAGGCAUUGUUUCGAGUGACCUUGCUUUGUUUAUUGCUUAUUUAGUUAAGGAUAAACAUUUUAAUUAUCUACAUCUCAACAGGUGCAUAGAUCAGUUCAAGUAUCAGGGGAAUGAUGGCCACGACAAACCAGCUGAUGUUUCACCAGGUAGCAAUAAACUUACUGGACAUGCAGCCCAGAACUGGUGUUUCCUUCGUUUGCUACCCCUCCUGGUGGGAGAUAGGAUUAAGAAUCCAUGUGACAAUGCUGUUUGGCAACUUGUGCUCCAGCUUAGAGAAAUUGUAGAGCUAAUUUGUGCUCCAGCAAUUACAACAGAUCAGGUCGCUUAUCUUAAAAUACUCAUUGAGGAAUACAUAUACUUUCGAAGACAGCUCUUUCCUGAUCAGCCCCUGAAGCCCAAACACCACUAUCUGCUUCAUUAUCCACAGCUCAUUACAGAGUUUGGCCCCCUAAUUCGCCUUUGGACUCUCAGGUUCGAGAGUAAGCACUCUUUCUUCAAGAGAUGUGCUAGAAAGUUGCACAAUUUCAAAAACAUCUGCAAAACAGUUGCUGAGCGACACCAGCUCUUCCAAGCCUAUUUGAGUGCUGGUGAAAUGUUCCAGCCAAGUGUGUCAUUUGAUAAGGGCACACCAUUCUAUGUAAAUGACUACAGUGACAAAAUCAGAGAGGCUGUGCUUGGAUUGAAUUUGGAAUUUAUAGAUACAGUAGCAUCUCAUGCUGUCACAGUGAAGGGCACUUCGUACAAAAAGGGCAUGUAUAUCUUGUUGGGAAAAACUGAUGAAGAAUUGGAGGUUGGCAAGAUAGAGCUGGUCAUUGUUCACCAUGGCUCUGUGUCCUUCAUCUCUGAAAAAUAUUUGUUUGUGAAGCUGAGUGACAUUGGGGUCUAUUGCAUAUUAGGGACAGCCCAAGAGCAGUUUGUUUGUGUGAGACAUGACGAUCUGCUUGAUUAUUAUCCUUUGCCAGCCUAUGAGAUGUGUGAUAUGCCAGUAAUCUCUCUCCAUCACUCGUUUGCAGAAACAUACUAAUACAGUGAUUGCUGCAUCAGAGGACAUCGGCAAGGCUGUCCUGGCUGCUCUUCCUGGGCUCCCCACAGAUACAUUGGCAUCCUUGAUGACAGGCCUGGAGACCCUUGGUGUGCAGAGCAUGGAGGACCUCUUCUAUUUGAGGGAAGAUGAUCUUCUGAUCUACCUCCGUCCAGUCCAGUGCAGAAGGCUCAUUUGUGCCUUCACACCAAAAGAUCCCUCUUCAGCACCAUUUCCCCCAGGAAGUCCAGAACCCUCCUUAGCUCUGUUUUCUGUGGAAAGUCCACAAACCUCCUCAACCCUGUGUUAUCCAGGAGAAACGCUAAGUGCAGACACGUGGAUGAUGUCCAUAGAAGGAACAAUUGUGAUGGGGCCCCACAACAACCUGCUGAAUGGAGUGGCAGCGACCUUUGCUGCCUACUAUGUGUUUAACUUGCAUUAUCCCAAAGAUGCCUCAAGCACUCUUGAAUUUGUCCAAAGAGCUUUUUGUGGAAUCAACUCCCAGUUGGGCAGCAAAGCAGAGAAGAGACAUGGGCUCAACGCCCCUGUCUGCACCCUCUUAAGAAAACUACUGGACUUUGAGUUGAUGGGCUAGUACUGAUGCCAACCCACAGCUCCCCCAGUUCAAGACUAGCUGGGCACUUUUGUUAUCACCAUGUUCCCCUUGAUGAUACAUUGUCUGGACAUCAGUGAAACUAAUAUUGUUUGUAGAUAAAAGAAGUUUGUAAUGUGAUGUUGCAUA